GUUUGUGUAUAUGUUUACCGUCUGGUGUUGGGUAGGUAGCAUGCUGGGUUGUAAGUUUGAGUUUGUGUAUUUGUUUACCAUGUGGUGUUGGGUAGGUAGCAUGCUGGGUCGUAAGUUCGAGUUUGUGUAUAUGUUUACCGUCUGGUGUUGGGUAGGUAGCAUGCUGGGUCGUAAGUUCGAGUUUGUGUAUUUGUUUACCGUCUGGUGUUGGGUAGGUAGCAUGCUGGGUCGUAAGUUCGAGUUUGUGUAUAUGUUUACCGUCUGGUGUUGGGUAGGUAGCAUGCUGGGUCGUAAGUUCGAGUUUGUGUAUAUGUUUACCGUCUGGUGUUGGGUAGGUAGCAUGCUGGGUCGUAAGUUCGAGUUUGUGUAUUUGUUUACCGUCUGGUGUUGGGUAGGUAGCAUGCUGGGUCGUAAGUUCGAGUUUGUGUAUUUGUUUACCGUCUGGUGUUGGGUAGGUAGCAUGCUGGGUCGUAAGUUCGAGUUUGUGUAUUUGUUUACCGUCUGGUGUUGGGUAGGUAGCAUGCUGGGUCGUAAGUUCGAGUUUGUGUAUUUGUUUACCGUCUGGUGUUGGGUAGGUAGCAUGCUGGGUCGUAAGUUCGAGUUUGUGUAUUUGUUUACCGUCUGGUGUUGGGUAGGUAGCAUGCUGGGUCGUAAGUUCGAGUUUGUGUAUUUGUUUACCGUCUGGUGUUGGGUAGGUAGCAUGCUGGGUCGUAAGUUCGAGUUUGUGUAUUUGUUUACCGUCUGGUGUUGGGUAGGUAGCAUGCUGGGUCGUAAGUUCGAGUUUGUGUAUUUGUUUACCGUCUGGUGUUGGGUAGGUAGCAUGCUGGGUCGUAAGUUCGAGUUUGUG